rnacentral:tRNA from 1 species
AGAAACUUAGGUUAACUAAACCAAGAGCCUUCAAAGCUCUAGAUAAGGAUUCAAAGCCCCUUAGUUUCUG